rnacentral:rRNA from 1 species
UACGUAGGGGGCGAGCGUUGUCCGGAUUUAUUGGGCGUAAAGAGCUCGUAGGCGGUUUGGUAAGUCGGGUGUGAAAACCCCAGGCUCAACCUGGGGACGCCACCUGAUACUGCUAUGACUUGAGUCUGGUAGGGGACCACGGAAUUCCUGGUGUAGCGGUGAAAUGCGCAGAUAUCAGGAGGAACACCGGUGGCGAAGGCGGUGGUCUGGGCCAGUACUGACGCUGAGGAGCGAAAGCGUGGGUAGCAAACAGG